rnacentral:rRNA from 1 species
GAUCAUUAUUGAAAUAAACCUGAUGGGUUGCUGCUGGCUCUCUAGGGAGCAUGUGCACACUUGUCAUCUUUAUAUCUCCACCUGUGCACCUCUUGUAGAUCUGAAUACCUUUCUGAAUGCGUAGCGUUCAGGUUUGAGGAUUGAUUUAUUUCAUUCCUUACACUUUCAGGUUUAUGUUUUCAUAUACCCCAUGUAUGUUAUAGAAUGUAAUAAACGGGCCUUUUGUGCCUAUAAAUUUAUACAACUUUCAGCAACGGAUCUCUUGGCUCUCGCAUCGAUGAAGAACGCAGCGAAAUGCGAUAAGUAAUGUGAAUUGCAGAAUUCAGUGAAUCAUCGAAUCUUUGAACGCACCUUGCGCUCCUUGGUAUUCCGAGGAGCAUGCCUGUUUGAGUGUCAUUAAUAUAUCAACCUCCUCUGCUUUUGCAUGUUGAGUGUUGGAUGUGGGGGUAUCUUUGCUGGACUCUUUUUUUGAGGUCAGCUCCCCUAAAAUGCAUUAGCAAAACAAUUUGUUUCGCUCAUUGGUGUGAUAACUAUCUACGCUAUUGAUGUGGAGCAGGUUUAGCUUCUAACAGUCCAUUAAUUUGGACAAACUUUUAUUAAUGUGACCUCAAAUCAGGUAGG